rnacentral:rRNA from 1 species
AUUGAACGCUGGCGGCAUGCCUUGCACAUGCAAGUCGAACGGCAGCACGGGUGCUUGCACCUGGUGGCGAGUGGCGAACGGGUGAGUAAUACAUCGGAACGUACCUUAUCGUGGGGGAUAACGCAGCGAAAGCUGUGCUAAUACCGCAUACGCCCUGAGGGGGAAAGCGGGGGAUCGCAAGACCUCGCGCGAUUAGAGCGGCCGAUGCCUGAUUAGCUAGUUGGUGGGGUAAAAGCCCACCAAGGCGACGAUCAGUAGCUGGUCUGAGAGGACGAUCAGCCACACUGGGACUGAGACACGGCCCAGACUCCUACGGGAGGGAGCAGUGGGGAAUUUUGGACAAUGGGGGCAACCCUGAUCCAGCAAUGCCGCGUGAGUGAAGAAGGCCUUCGGGUUGUAAAGCUCUUUUGUCAGGGAAGAAACACCGGCUCUAACACAGUCUGGGAAUGACGGUACCUGAAGAAUAAGCACCGGCUAACUACGUGCCAGCAGCCGCCGUAA